rnacentral:lncRNA from 1 species
UCAAGCUUCCGGCGCGGUGAGCUGAGCCUGACGGGGGCCCUGUGCGAGGCGGGCGACACCUCAGCUUUCCUUUCCCCUUUUGAACUUUUUCUUAGAGGGAGGCUCCAGUCCGUCUGUAGAGGACGAGGCCGUGGGUUCGAGAAAUCCUCGUAGUGCUUCCUAGAGUGAACGCGGGUCCAGAAGCAUUACCAGUUCCAAGAUAUUUUGCAAAUAUUCUGGAACACAUUAGCAGAGGAAGGAGUAACUUUUGGGAGUGUUAUAAACAGGUGUGGCAGAGACCGCAGCGCUCACAAUAUUUGACACCUGUGCUCCUCUCGUCCUCCUGGGCAACUACUGGACCACACCCCCAGCCUCCCUACAGUCAGAUGGAGCCACUGACUGGGUUCCGGCCAAAGAAAUGGGAGCAGACAUAAUAUGUGCCACGUCCAGACCUGGCCCACAAAAACCUCCCACACAACACAAAAAUUAACUCAAAAUGGAUCACGGACCUAAAAGUAAAACAUAAAACUUUUAAGAAAAAACUGAAGAAAAUCUUUGGGAUCCAGGGCUAGUCAAACAGUUCUUAGGCUCGAUAGAAAAUCACAACCCAUAAAAGGAAAUAAAUGGAGAGAUUAGCUUUCAUGCAAAUUAAAAACCUUUGUUCUUAGAAAGGUCCUGUUAAGAAGACAAGUUACAGACUGGGAGAAAACAUGUUCACCCCGUAUUUCCAGAUAUCUAGAAUACAUAAAGAACUCUCAAAACUCAGUAAGCAAAAAGCAAACAAUCCAAUCAGAAAAUGGGCAAAAGACAUGAAGAGAGAGUCUACCAGAGGAAACAGAGAACAAAAUGAGCCCAUGAAAAGGUGUGCAAUGUUACUAACCAGCAGGGAAACACAAAUUAAAAUGACAGCAUCACACACCUAUGGGAUUAGCUCAAAUGAAAAACAGUGGCAACACUAAUGCUGGUGGGGUGUGCAGAAACGGCCUCCCUCACACAUUGCUGGUGGGCGUGUCCAAUGGUAGGCCAUACUGGGAAACAGUUUGGCAGUUAAAACGACAAAACAUGCAACUCUCUUCCACCCCAGCGGUUACGCUCCUGAGCACUUAUCUUAGAGAAAUGAAGACUUGUGUUCACACAAAGACCUCUAUAAAAAUGUUUACAGCAGCUUUAUUCAUAGUAGCCCAAAACUGGAAACAACCCAGGUCUCCUUCAGUGGGUGAAUGGCUAAACAACCGUGGUCCAGCCACACCACAGCAUACUAUUCAGGAACAAAAAAGAACAAACUAUUGCUACAUGUAACGACCUGGAAGAACCUCCAGAAAAUUAUGCUGAGUGAAAAUAAUCUCAAAAAGUUAUAUGAUGUAUGAUUACACAUAUAUAUAAUAUUAUUGAAAUGACUAUAGAAAUGGAGAACAGAUUAGUGGUUGCCGGGGCUUAAGAAGGAAGCAAGUGUGGCUAUAAAGGGGCAACCUGAGGGAUCCUUGUGGUGAUGGCCCUGUUCUCUCUCCUGACUAUAUCUGUGUCAGCAUUGGCUGUGAUAUCGUAGUAAAACUUUGCAAGAUGUUACCAUUGGGGGAAACUGAGUGAAGGGUCCACAGGAUCUUUCUGUAUUAUUUCUUACAACUUCAUAUAAAUCUACAAUUGUCUCAAAAUAAAAAGUUUAAUUACUGCUCCCCCUACAAAUACCCCUCCUCCACAUGAUCUUUGCCCUUUCCCCCUCCACUGGACAGAUGGAGACACUCCAAGAACUUUGAGGAGGGCAAGGCACAAGAAGAAAGGGGUCUGGGUCCCUGAAUGGCUGUGUGGAGGAGAGUCAUCCCCUCGCUGCCCCAUACUGAGCUGAGAUGUAAUCAAGAAAAAGCUGUUUUUGUGUUAAACCACUGACAGCUGGGGACUGUUUGUUACUGCAGUCACUCCUUACCCUGCUAAUGUCACAUUGGAGGAUCUGGGAUUUUAACCCAAAUUCAGGCUUCACAGGGAUCCGACAAGUAUGCUGAUUUUUCCAUGAAACAAACUAUUCUGGUUUCUGGUACAAAGAAAUUACCCUAUCUUCCAUCUGUGUGAAAACCGGGGAUCAUCUCCUGCCUUCAGCACUUUCUGGCUUUUCAAGUUUGAGUCCAUCACUGGACUUCCCAAAGCCUCACUCUCCCGGCUGCAAGACUAGGGAAUUGGGAAGGUGGGUGCAUGUCUGUGGAAUGACGGAGCGCUCUGUGCAUGCAGAGAUCUGGGGGUGUGUCCAGCAGCCUCCUCUUUGUUCUCCAACAAAGUUCAUCCAACUCCUCUGGCCUCCAGGUUCUUCUGUCUUAGCCCCAGAGAGACCUUCUUUAAAAAUGAACCUGAUCAGUUGCUUUAGUUGACAAAUAACCACAACAACAAUGACAGAAAGAAAGUAAUGCUAUUAUUAAUAGUGACAGCAUCAUUUAUCAACCACCUACUGUGUUCCUAGUGAUACUUGCAGGCAACCUGUCUACCCUCGGGCUCGUGCUGGCGUUUCCCCGACCCUCCAGCUGCAACAGUGGUGGAGUGCUGCUCACAUCACGCCACCCCAACGUCCUCUCCUGCCUCCUCCUUCCACUGAUGAUCACGCUGGACUCGUGAUUCCACUGGGCCCAUCUGCAUGACCGACGAUAAUCUCCCCAUCUGACAGUCUGCUCGUGAGCAGCCUUAAUUCCACCGGCUGCCUCAGCUCCCUUUUGCCACGUCAGGGAGCAUACUCACAGGUUCCGGGGAGUAGGAAGUGGCCCUCAUACCUACCACACUGGUCCACGGCAGAAUGACAAAAAUGACAGUGUGCCGCUUUUCCCAUGAAGACAGUUUUUAAAAUUAUAAUUUUAAAAUGAUAUGCCUCUGAAUGUAUGCCUUCUCACUUUGGGGGGAUGGGCUGUUAAAUAUGAAAUGUAUCAAGUAUGAAAUGUCCUUUUGAGAAAAAAAGGAAAAGUUGGAAAACUGCAGUUUUCCUGGUCCAUGAAGUUCCAACUUGUGGGAAACGAUACUUUGGGCUAAGUAGUCCCACAGAUGCACUCCCCAGAGCAUCACAGGCACGUGCCAGAGGCUGGCAGCUCGGGGUGCUGCUGCAGGACUGGGGUCCUCCACGUUGUGGAAAUAUGAGGGUGCCAAUGACAGGUGCUUCUGAUUCCGUUCAGAUCGGCUCCCUGAUCAGGACACAUGUUGGGCUGAGGUGUGGGGCCCAGGCUGUCAGCAACCACAAGGUAGCCACAAGAGAGAAACAAGUUAAACCAGAAGCAACUUUAAAAAAUCUUCUAAGUCUGGUGGGCGUGUCCAAUGGUUUUGAUGUCAAGAUGAUGACAAAUUCUCUCCAGAGAUGGUGUAAAAUCCAACCAUUGACAAGCAGGUGAAUUUAGUUCAAAAGUUGUGUCUUUUCAUACUUUGAGAAUAUCUAAUGUUCUACUAGUUCCACAGGUAAGAUUUACCUACUGAUGAGGACUUUUAAAAUAUCAGUAAAUGACUUAAAAGAUUAGAAAGAAAGAAAAAGAGAGAGAGGGAGAGUUUUGGUUUUGGUUGAUUGGCUUUAAAAACCGUAUGAAUUCCUUUUUUAUAGAAGGUAAAAUUAACAGAUACUGAUGAAUCUAUAAAGAAUUAUAAAAGAGAAAAUAGUAAUCACCCUUAUUCCCACUGCCGAGAAAUAAACACUGCUGAUAUUUGGUUGUAUUCUCUUGUUGUUUCAUUUUUAACCAGCAAGAAUAAGGCCCUUUUCUGCUGUCCUGAUACCCUACAGAAUCUCAGCAAUGCAGACAACUGACUUUAGUUGAACAAUAGAAGACCUUUUGGGGUUUUUAAUCAUUAAAAAUAUAUUUUUACCCUCCAAUAUUUCUAGAUGUCCAGCAAUAUGUGCUUUGACUCCACUCAUAUUUUCCAUUUUUCCUCUCUUCUAGAAUAUUCCUGGAAUCUUCUACCACUCUACAGCACUAGUCUAAAAGAACACAGCUUUUAGAACUAAACUGGGAUCCAUCCAUGGCAACAGGUGCAGAGGAACCCAAGGAGAAUGAAGGCUGUUAUGACUCCACCCUUUGGAAAAACCUCUCUGAAGCCGCAAGCCACGCACAGAAGCCACGUUCACCCCGUGUCCUCAUUGGCCCGAAGCAGUCCCGCGCCUACGUUGAGACCUUUGGCAUCUGAAGACAGGUCUUUCUCCCUAGUCUGGGCCCCACCUCCAUCCUGGCUGGCUUCGCUGUCCAUGAGCCUGAACUCCACUGGCCCUCACCUUCCCAGCAAUCACUCUACUUUCCUGCCCUGUUGACUGCAGCCAGAGCCAACUUGUGAAAUUUUAACUCUGGAUCCAUCUUGUCACCUACCUUCUCUGCUUCUGCUCUUGGGCAGCUGAGCCCUGAUGGAGAAAAAUCCCACAAACGGGCCAGGGGGGCCAUGCUGAUGCAUCUUCUCCAGCCUAGCUGGGCUCUUCCUCCUUCUGGUGCAUCUUUUCUGUGACCCCAGGUGACUCUCACUGCUGUGUCUUGGACAUCCAAUAUGCACCUCUUUCCUCAGUACCCAUCCACCACGCACCACUCUCUCCCUCUCAGUGGGCAAUUUGCCUCUGACUCCAUUGAUGACAUCUGCUUCCUCCCCUUCUUUCACAAGUGAAUCUGUAUCAUAAACUAUUUUCCCUCCCAUCUUCAGGGAAGAAGGGCUUCUCUUCCUUUAUUCAAGCUUGAUCAUUCCUGAUCCAAUUCCCCAUCCUUCCAGCAAUCAGCACAUAUUCCUCUCAAUCUUUCCCCUUUCUACUGGGUUCCAUCUCCUACCGCCGCAACUAUGAACCAACUCAUGUUUGUUCCAGCCUUUUCUUUUUUUUUAAGACAAAACAAAAUAAUAAUCUAUUUUUGGGCAAUCUCCUAGCCCCCUCCCAAGACACACAUAGCUACCCUUCAGAGACUGUCCUAUAUCUCCUUCACUUUACAGCUGAGCUUCUAGAAAGAGUGGUCUGCACUCUUGGUUUCUUCUUCCACCCUGCCCACCACCACCCAACUCUCAACCCAUGGCAACCCUCCACCCUCACUGGCCCCCAUGAUACUGUCCAGGGCCACCACACAGCCAGCUCCACAGGCACUAGAUUGUCCUAUCUUGUAUGGCCUCCGAGUAGCCCUGGACGCCCUGGUGACACCACUUUCCCUUUUGGGUGGACCUCCUUACCCUACUUUCCUGGGGCUCCUUUGCUUCUUUCUAGAAUGUUCUUGGUCUCUCUGAGGAAUCUCAUCAAACUCAUGUCAUUCUCACCCAGGUUUCCUCCACUGCACUUCUAGCCCAGUCCUUGUUUAGGAGCUCAGAACUUAGUGCCCAGCUGCCCUUGGCACUGCUCCCACCAUGUCACACCAUGAAUCUUAACCUCAACAUGUCCAAAACUAGACUGACUACGUUUCCUCCCAAACUUGGCAUUCCUGUUCACCCAGUCGCUCAAGCUGGAACCUGGGAACCUUCCAACUUUCUCCCAUAUGAGCAAUUAAUUUAGUAAUCUUGGAAAACAAAGCAACAACAACAACAAAAAUGGCUGAGGCCAUACUGCUGGGAUUCACAGCUGCCUCUACCACCUCCCAACCCGCUAACACUGGGCAAGUCUCCUAACCUCUGCGCCUCUGUUUUCUCGUCUAUAAACUGGGCACAACAACAGUACCUACUUCACGAGGGUGCUGUGCCAGAGAGUAAGAGUGGAAUAAGGGUCGGCUCUGACCAUCAGUCCUCUUCGCCCCCAGGGACAAACACUGCCCAGAAGUGCUGCUGGUCAAGGUCUGGUCCACAGGCUAGGGCCAGUUUGGGAAAUGUUUGUCAUUGGUCUGUAAUUAGAUAAGUACAGAAGUUGAAAGUAAGCAUUUAAAACUGUUGUAUAGUAAUUUAACAGGAUAAUUUUAUACCUGUUGAACGUAAUAAGAAAAAAUUGAGCUUCACUUCACACCCAUUAGAACGGCUACUAUCAAAACGCAGAGAAUAACAAGUGUAGGUGACGAUGGCAGACACUGGGGCUCUUGUGCACCGAGGACGGGAAUGUAAAAUGGGGCAGCCACCGUGGAAAACAGUAUUGUGGCUCCUUGAGAAGUUAAAAAUAAAAUUACCAUAUGAUCUAGCAAUUCUACUUUGGGGUGUACCCCCAAGAACUGAACGCAGGGCCUU